AAUGGGCCUCUAUUAAAAAACAAAAAACAAUUCAAACCAAACCAAACAAAUAAAAUCCCUGCAGUCUAUUUUCAAUACUGGUCCCUGGAUCACAUCAGACUCACGUGCUGUGGAAAAUGCCUCAUUUUGAUUCUGUGUCAUGUGCCACCUCGUUUACACAGGAGUUGAGAAAGAAAGGCUCUGGUUGCCUAGGGAAUUUCUCUAGAUCAAGGACAAAAGCCAUUUUACUCUUUCCUCUGGUCUAGGAAUCUGUUUGCUCUGCUAAUUAUACUACUCUAAUCAGAUCAAUCAUGUCCCUUAUCUUCAGUGAGACAGUUAAGAAAUCCAUCCCGAAGGGGUAGAUGAACGGCUUUUCCUUGAGGUGUGCCGCCAGCUGAUGGGUCUCAGCACCACGACAUUCCUUGGCAGAGAGUACGUGUACCAGUGUGGAAAGCAUGCUCUUAUGGCCUGGAGGUUGACCUCAAGAACAGAAUCACCUGAAUUUCUUCACCCUCUGGAUUUCAAAGUCAUUCAGUCAAUGAGAGGCACUGGAAAGAUACUGAAGGCUGGGAGAAGAGGUCAAUACCUCCACUGCCAGUUCAUCCCUUGACUGGCCCUGGUUCUAGCAGUGACUGACCUUCUAUAGCCACAACCUCUUUUGGAUAGAAAAAGACCCACAGCCACUGUUCUGUCUCUCACUAGCUUCAUUAUUACUCUUCUUUGCCCUUACCUCUUAGUGUGAAGGAAUGAUAAAGACUUCCUGUUAUCACAUUUCCUGGGUUACCUUACAGAUUUUUGUUAGUCACUGAACUCAGAUCCAUCCAUAAAAAGUCCUUUUCUUAAAUCCUUUUCCAUUUAAACAUUUCUUUCUGGAAUCUGUCUGAUUUGGUAUACUCCAUGCCAAGAAAAAGAUAUUUACUUGCCAGUAUUUGGUGCUAAGGACUCAAAAUGGGCAAGAGGAUGAGAUUCCUUAUUAAGUAAUGAAAUUGAGAUCCAUAGAGGUUUAAAGGAUUUUGUCCAAGAUCACACUGUUGGUCAAUUCAUGGUGAAUUCAGUCAAAUAUUUUUUGACCUAUAAAAUCAGUCAGGCGGUAGCAUGUGUCUUCCCUUACCAUUUUUUCUUGCAGUCCUCUAACAAGCACAGCCUAGUCCAAUCACCAUCUGUUUUCUCCCAGACUAUUUGCAAUAGCCUCCUGUAAGGUAUUAUAUCCUCCCUGGUUUUCAUCAUUUAAUCUAUUCUCUACCUUGGGGUCUGAAUAAAAUCUUUUAAAAUGCAAACCUCAGAUAAUUCUCUGCUUAAAAGUAUUCAAUAACACCAACAUUUUCUGUAGAUAAAGAAAAACUGUGGCUAUUGAGUCCUUACAUUGAUUGCUCAGCUUCAUCAAAUUUAGUUACCCAUUCCUUCUCUCCUUUUGUGUUAACCUGCACAACCUACUUUUAGUUCCUUGUAAAUGUUAUUUUCCUCCCACCAAGAUACUUUUGCACAUUCUGUUACCUGUCUAUAAGGCCCUCUGAACUUGCUGCCAUGUAUCUAGGUAAUUUCUAUACAUACUUUAAGCAUUAACCUAAUAAAUACCUCCUUGAGAAAGCUGCUCACCAGAUCUCACCUGGUCUAUAGCUUCAUCUGUUCGAGCAUGUAACAAUAUGCUCUCAUGGCAACCACUAAUUACUCCUUACAGAGUGUAUCUCAAUUCUAAUUCAAUGUGUUUGUUGAGUCUACAUUUUCACUUCUUGAGAACUGAUAGGCUGCCCAAUUCCUCACACUUCAUCCCCAGUGUUAGAUCUAGUGCUGUACAGAUGGUAAGAACUUAAUAAAUAAUUUUUGAAGGAAUAUGUGAAUUUAAAAAAGACCCAAACUAUAAGAAAGAUUUUCAAUAUUAGGGGAAUGUGCAAUUAAAUUGCGGUGAUGAGAAAUGAGGCUGGAGAGGAAUGCAAAAGAUAAAUUUUGCAAGGGCUUUAAGUGCAUACUAAGAAAUAUUGCUCAAUUCCUGGUGAGUAAAGAGCAAAUGCUAGAGGAGUGUUUCUCAAAUUUGGUGCAUAUUAUAAUCACUUAAACAGGUCAUGAAUUCCAUAGGGGAUGUUCCUUUUUAAAGUAGAAUAGUCUGGGUCUUUGUACUGUUACCAUAUCCUUUGAGGAAUUUGAUACCCAUGCACAUUAGAGAGACAUAGGAAUAAAGGUAAGGCAGUGAGACAUAGUCUUGAUCUAGUGGAAGGGUUAGGUGUAGGAGAUGAGCACAGCACAGGAGACCAUAUUAAUUUUCAGGUUGUGGCUACGGUAACCUGUCUGUGCCCUGAGAAGGAUAACUCACCCUACAACUUCACUAAUUGAUUGUAUUCUCCACACUCACUGGUGUCUGGAACCUGUGAAGUCUCUCAUACUUGGUCAUUGAAAUGUUAAAGCCAGAAAAUCCCUUUCAUGAUACAUGGCAGAUUGUAACUGAACUUGGAUGUUCUAACUCCCAGUUCAUCCAUUAUGACGUCUUAAAAAUCACGAAUGAGAGAUUAUAUAACAUUUUGGAAUAUAGAUGUACAUGAUUUUUUUUCUCUAUUAUUGCUCCUUCGGUGACUUGAUUUACCCUUGAAGGAAAACAUGUGAGAUUCACUAUCAUGUGUUUCUGUGAUGCUAGGAUAAUAUUUAUUCCUUUGUGAUUCAUAGAAAUUUAGUAUUGUAUCCAAACUCUGAAUUGUAUUAAAUCUUAUGAAAGACGAACUGACAAAGUGUUUGCUCAUUAGAUAAAUUUGAAAAGAUACUGUUACAUACCAGCAUGUUGCUAAUAUUAACUGAUCUUCAAUGGUAUUAUGGAAAUAUUUUUAGAAGAAGCAUGUUGCAGAUAAUACCAGUUUGAUAUCUGUUUAAUGCCUGAUGAAUGGAAGCAUUCCCUGGAAUUUGGACUUCAAUAUAAGAUAUAGCAUUGGUUAAUAUCCAGGAACAGAAAUUAAAUAAGGCAGUGGUCCAUUUUAUUAGUAUAUCUAUAUCUAAUAUGAUCAUAGAAGAGAAUUUAAACUAUAUAUUUACAUAAAAUAUUAAAAUUUUCCUUUUUUGUUACAAAUAGCAGGCAUUCUGUGACAGUUGAAAUAAAUUGAGUUCUGGCCCAGACAUUGCUAUCCAACUCUGGGAAUUUGGGAUUAGCCUUAUUUGCAUGUCAGUUUCCUUAUCCUGAAAAUGAUGGAAAUGAAUAGUCCCUAAAUAUCCCUCCUGGCUCUGCAAUUCUGUGAUUCUAGGUUCUAUCAACUAAACAUCUCUAUAGUUUUUAAUAGAAAUAUGAUUUAAUCUAGGAACAUCUGUUAUAGUCUGUAACAUAUUUUGCCAAGUCCUUGACCUUAAUUUUACCAUAGACAUCAGAUGUUCCUUCACAGAUUCUGCUCUGAUUUUACUGAGGGAACAUCAUUAUGCUUGUGUCUGUCUCAAGUAGUGUCAAUCUGACCAAAAAAUAUGCCAAAUUCGUUAACAUUAUCAUCAAAUGACUUCUUAAUUAAGGUUGUAAAUACCACUAAUGAUAUAGUUCAGGGUUAUUUUAGCAUUAGAAAUUGCGUAAGUUUCCAUUUUGCGUUUUUAUUUUUAUACAUAUUGCCAAAUAGAAGCGUUCUUGUUAAAGGCAUUGUACUCUCUACAAAUAAACAUGGAUUCAAAAAUAA